rnacentral:rRNA from 1 species
AGCGUACACGGUGGAUGCCCUGGCAGUCAGAGGCGAUGAAGGACGUGCUAAUCUGCGAAAAGCGUCGGUAAGGUGAUAUGAACCGUUAUAACCGGCGAUGUCCGAAUGGGGAAACCCAGUGCAAUUCGUUGCACUAUCGUUAACUGAAUACAUAGGUUAACGAGGCGAACCGGGGGAACUGAAACAUCUAAGUACCCCGAGGAAAAGAAAUCAACCGAGAUUCCCCCAGUAGCGGCGAGCGAACGGGGAGCAGCCCAGAGUCUGAAUCAGCUUGUGUGUUAGUGGAACGGUCUGGAAAGUCCGACGGUACAGGGUGAUAGUCCCGUACACCAAAAUGCACAGGCUGUGAACUCGAAGAGUAGGGCGGGACACGUGGUAUCCUGUCUGAAUAUGGGGGGACCAUCCUCCAAGGCUAAAUACUCCUGACUGACCGAUAGUGAACCAGUACCGUGAGGGAAAGGCGAAAAGAACCCCGGCGAGGGGAGUGAAAAAGAACCUGAAACCGUGUACGUACAAGCAGUGGGAGCACCUUCGGGUGUGACUGCGUACCUUUUGUAUAAUGGGUCAGCGACUUAUAUUCUGUAGCAAGGUUAACCGUAUAGGGGAGCCGCAGGGAAACCGAGUCUUAACUGGGCGUUAAGUUGCAGGGUAUAGACCCGAAACCCGGUGAUCUAGCCAUGGGCAGGUUGAAGGUUGGGUAACACUAACUGGAGGACCGAACCGACUAAUGUUGAAAAAUUAGCGGAUGACUUGUGGCUGGGGGUGAAAGGCCAAUCAAACCGGGAGAUAGCUGGUUCUCCCCGAAAGCUAUUUAGGUAGCGCCUCGUGAACUCAUCUUCGGGGGUAGAGCACUGUUUCGGCUAGGGGGUCAUCCCGACUUACCAACCCGAUGCAAACUACGAAUACCGAAGAAUGUUAUCACGGGAGACACACGGCGGGUGCUAACGUCCGUCGUGAAGAGGGAAACAACCCAGACCGCCAGCUAAGGUCCCAAAGUCAUGGUUAAGUGGGAAACGAUGUGGGAAGGCACAGACAGCCAGGAUGUUGGCUUAGAAGCAGCCAUCAUUUAAAGAAAGCGUAAUAGCUCACUGGUCGAGUCGGCCUGCGCGGAAGAUGUAACGGGGCUAAACCAUGCACCGAAGCUGCGGCAGCGACACUAUGUGUUGUUGGGUAGGGGAGCGUUCUGUAAGCCUGCGAAGGUGGAUCGUAAGGUCUGCUGGAGGUAUCAGAAGUGCGAAUGCUGACAUGAGUAACGAUAAAGCGGGUGAAAAGCCCGCUCGCCGGAAGACCAAGGGUUCCUGUCCAACGUUAAUCGGGGCAGGGUGAGUCGACCCCUAAGGCGAGGCCGAAAGGCGUAGUCGAUGGGAAACAGGUUAAUAUUCCUGUACUUGGUGUUACUGCGAAGGGGGGACGGAGAAGGCUAUGUUAGCCGGGCGACGGUUGUCCCGGUUUAAGCAUGUAGGCUGGUUGUCCAGGCAAAUCCGGAUAAUCAAGGCUGAGGUGUGAUGACGAGGCACUACGGUGCUGAAGUAACAAAUGCCCUGCUUCCAGGAAAAGCCUCUAAGCAUCAGGUAACAUUAAAUCGUACCCCAAACCGACACAGGUGGUCAGGUAGAGAAUACCAAGGCGCUUGAGAGAACUCGGGUGAAGGAACUAGGCAAAAUGGUGCCGUAACUUCGGGAGAAGGCACGCUGGUGUGUAGGUGAAGUCCCUGCGGAUGGAGCUGAGACCAGUCGAAGAUACCAGCUGGCUGCAACUGUUUAUUAAAAACACAGCACUGUGCAAACACGAAAGUGGACGUAUACGGUGUGACGCCUGCCCGGUGCCGGAAGGUUAAUUGAUGGGGUUAUCCGUAAGGAGAAGCUCUUGAUCGAAGCCCCGGUAAACGGCGGCCGUAACUAUAACGGUCCUAAGGUAGCGAAAUUCCUUGUCGGGUAAGUUCCGACCUGCACGAAUGGUGUAAUGAUCCGGACGCUGUCUCAACCGUGAGCUCAGUGAAAUUGUAGUAUCGGUGAAGAUGCCGAUUACCCGCGAUGGGACGAAAAGACCCCGUGAACCUUUACUAUAGCUUAGCAUUGAAUUUGGGCACGCGAUGUGUAGGAUAGGUCGGAGGCUUUGAAGCAGGCACGCCAGUGUUUGUGGAGCCGCUGUUGAAAUACGACCCUUUGUUUGUUUGAAUUCUAACUCUUGGUAAGAGGACAUUGCUUGGUGGGUAGUUUGACUGGGGUGGUCGCCUCCAAAAGCGUAACGGAGGCUUCUAAAGGUGCCCUCAGGACGAUCGGUAACCGUCCGCAGAGUGUAAUGGCAGAAGGGCGCUUGACUGGGAGACAGACAAGUCGAGCAGGUAGGAAACUAGAGCAUAGUGAUCCGGUGUUUCCGUAUGGAAGGGACAUCGCUCAAAGGAUAAAAGGUACUCCGGGGAUAACAGGCUGAUCCCUCCCAAGAGCUCAUAUCGACGGAGUGGUUUGGCACCUCGAUGUCGGCUCGUCACAUCCUGGGGCUGGAGAAGGUCCCAAGGGUUGGGCUGUUCGCCCAUUAAAGUGGCACGCGAGCUGGGUUCAGAACGUCGUGAGACAGUUCGGUCUCUAUCUAUCGUGGGCGUAUGAAAUUUGCGUGGCUCUGACACUAGUACGAGAGGACCGUGUUGGACCGACCUCUGGUUUACCGGUUGUGCCGCCAGGUGCAUCGCCGGGUAUCUAAGUCGGGAUCGGAUAAGUGCUGAAAGCAUCUAAGUACGAAGCCGGCCACAAGAUUAGAUUUCU